AAUAAGAAAAUUGAUAGUUUCCUAAGGGAGAAGGAAUUUGUGGAGUGCAAAACUGAACAUGGAGUAUAUGUAAGAAGAAGCAAGAGUAAAUUGCUUAUACUAUGUCUCUAUGUAGAUGAUUUGUUGAUAACAGGUAGCUGCAAGAGUGAGAUCGAAGACUUCAAAGGUGAUCUCAGCAAGGAAUUCAAAAUGUCUGACUUGGGUGAGAUUUCAUAUUUCAUUGGUAUCGAAUUCUACAAGAGAAGUAGAGGUUUGAUGACGCAUCAAAGAAGAUAUGCAGGAGAAAUUAUCAAGAGAUUUGAGAUGGAAGAAUGCAACCCAACUUUGACACCUGCAAAACCAAGACUGCAACUGUCGAAAGAUGCAGAUGAAGAUGAUGUUGAUCCAACCCAAUACAGAAGACUUAUUGGAUCAUUGAGAUACAUUUGUCAUACAAGGCC